GGGCGAUUAGCUCAGGGGUAGAGUACACCGUUAAUAUCGGUGGAACCACUGGUUCAAAUCCAGUACAUCGCCCA
rnacentral:tRNA from 3 species